CGCCCGCACCGAACACAACCCAAUCCCCUCGUCCCGCACACCGUGUACACUCCGGUCCCCUCAUCCCGCACGAACCCUAGGAGAGAGAGAUAGGAAGAUGAGAGGGAGAGAAAGGGGAGAGGAGAGGAGAGGGAGGUCCGGCAGUGUUUGCCUCCCGGACCAGCCGCCGUGGGUUUCCACGGGGAAGGAGCAGCGACGGGGGUAGGCCCCAGGUGGAGCACACUUCAUGGGGAGGCAAGGAACUAGGAGGUGAUGGGGUCGGAUCUGGUGGUGCUAGGUCGGAGCGCCUCCUCUCCUUUCCCCAGCCGCCACCGGCCACCUCCCAGCCCUCCUCCUCCGCCUCGUCGCCUCGCCACCUUGAGCUUGCAGCGAGCGCUCUGCUCUGGCGGCGGCGGUGGCCUCUUGUGGCGGAGCAGGAGGGGGCCUCUUGUGGCGGAGCAGGAGGGGGAAGACGGUGGCAGCGCGCCCUCUGGUGGCGGAGGAGGAGGAGGAGGGAGAUGGUGGCGGCUGCGCUUGUUCAGGGGCUCGCUCAAGGUGCUCGAGCCCGACAUCCAGCACGCCAACAACCUGGCCGCCCCGUGCCUCUUCCUCUUCCUCCUGCAGCGGACCGACUGCAGCCUCGCCGGCGCCCUCGGCCUCCUCAGGAUCCCCAUCUACAAGGCUACUCCCCCAAUGGUGAAAAUCCCCUACAGAAUGGUGCUGGAUGUCCUUUUAGAAUCUUUGGGCCUGCCAGCGGCUGAGUAUCGAACCAAAGCAUGCGAGGGUGGUUUGAAGUGUUCGUUCAAUUCAUGUGCUUGGGAUUUGUUUCGAUUGAUGGACCUCAAAGCUGAUGCAAUAAUGCAUGAACUUGCCAAAAGGAGGUUUAGCAGGUCUGACUUAUGGUCUAAGUUGAUGGUGUUUAGCAAUAUUGGUUCGAUCCAUGCAGAGGUCCUCGCCGUCGUUGCAGUGGCGGGACAAGACGGCGAGGAGCCUCCUCCUCCUCGCGGCGGCUGGCUGUUAAAUCUUUCGUUUUGUUUUCAUUUUGCCAAAGGUUGGACUGGUAUUUGUUUGGUUUCAUGAUGGAAUAAUAUUGCGAGUCAAAUGUGACAUGCAUGAUUGUUUAGCAUUGGAACCAAAUUUCAUGGGGUAAAGCGAGCAUCACUUCCCGUCAUUUUCUGUUUGGAGUAAAGCAUGCCUUUUGGUUAAUGGUGUGAUAACCUGGUUUGCAAGUUUAUGUUUUUUCUUCUGGUUCAAACAUGAAAACAAGAUGCUGAUGGAGUGCCCUGUAUUGCUGCUACUUGAUUUUCUGUGAUUGGAUAAAGUUCUGUACUGAUAGUCCGAAACUUUGUGGUCGCCCAGGCUAUGCAGCCUUUAAUCAUAUUUAACAUCGUCAUGUAAGUAAAGAUGUCAUGAUCAGAAGUCAUUGGGGUCUCUGGACAAACAAGCUUGAGGAGGCCAUUGUUUGGUGCAGCCCACGAUGACAACUACACCAUUGACCACUGAAGCAAGGUCCUUAUAUGGUCACUGAAGAAACGCGUUGUCAUAUUUUUUCCGACGGAAUGGCACUUUUCUUGAAUCUAUGCCAGUGUCUAUUGUAAUUUAAUAUCAUCCCUAGGACAAACAUGAUUCUGUGUUGCCGUUCUUUAUCUCUAUUGUUGAAUCCAAAUUACUAAUGUGACAUGAUAACAUAUAUGAUGCGGUGGACAGUAUUGCUAAGAAGUGCACGGACACAGUGCUUUAUCA